rnacentral:sRNA from 1 species
GCAAAUGAGCUCUCUGAAUGGACUCAAGAAUGUCCAAAAUGUGUUGUAGGUGAAACGAA